CCCCCAGUAAGGGCGACUGAACGGGGAGAAGCCCAGCGCGGAACCUCGCGCGCCUCACCGGCUGCGUCUGAGGAAUGUCGCGUUCCGGAGGGGCCUUCUCCGACCACACCGACCCCCCCCAAGUCCGCUUGAACGCGGCCACUACCCAGGGAGGGUGCGAGGCCCGUACGGGGAUUAGGAGUCGGGCGGUCGGACGGCCCCGUCCGUAGAGUCGGGUUGCCUACUAACGCAGCCCAAAGCAGGUGGUAAACUCCAUCUAAGGCUAAAUAUGACCACGAGACCGAUAGCGAACAAGU
rnacentral:rRNA from 1 species